rnacentral:rRNA from 1 species
UACAGAGGGGGCAAGCGUUGUUCGGAAUUACUGGGCGUAAAGGGCGCGUAGGCGGCCUGUUAAGUCGAACGUGAAAUCCCUGGGCUCAACCCAGGAACUGCGUCCGAUACUGGCAGGCUUGAAUCCGGGAGAGGGAUGUGGAAUUCCAGGUGUAGCGGUGAAAUGCGUAGAUAUCUGGAGGAACACCGGUGGCGAAGGCGGCAUCCUGGACCGGUACUGACGCUGAGGCACGAAAGCGUGGGGAGCAAACAGG